rnacentral:tRNA from 1 species
GGAGGCAUAGCUCAGUUGUAAAGUAUGUGCUUAGCAUGCAUGAGGUCCUGGGUUCAAUCUCCAGCACCUCUA